GCCAGACUCCUACGGGAGGCAGCAGUGGGGAAUAUUGGGCAAUGGGCGAAAGCCUGACCCAGCGACGCCGCGUGAGGGAAGAAGGUCUUCGGAUUGUAAACCUCUUUCAGCAGGGAAGAAGAAAAUGACGGUACCUGACUAAGAAGCCCCGGCUAAAUACGUGCCAGCAGCCGCGGUAAUACGUAUGGGGCAAGCGUUAUCCGGAUUUACUGGGUGUAAAGGGAGCGUAGGCGGCCUGGCAAGCCUGAUGUGAAAUACCGGGGCCCAACCCCGGGGCUGCAUUGGGAACUGCCAGGCUGGAGUGCCGGAGAGGCAGGCGGAAUUCCUAGUGUAGCGGUGAAAUGCGUAGAUAUUAGGAGGAACACCAGUGGCGAAGGCGGCCUGCUGGACGGUGACUGACGCUGAGGCUCGAAAGCGUGGGGAGCAAACAGGAUUAGAUACCCUAGUAGG
rnacentral:rRNA from 1 species